UAAUUUAUAUUUUAAUUAAGAUUAUUAGAAAUUUAUUUUUUAGUUAUGAUUGGGGUGAUUUUUAAAGAUUAUUAAUCUUUAAAAUUUUUUAAUAAAAAAGUUCCAUGUAGUAGUGAUUUUUUGAUAAAAAUACUCUAGGGAUAACAGCGUUAUUAUUUUGGAUAGUUCAUAUAGAUAAAAUAGUUUGCGACCUCGAUGUUGGAUUAGGAUUCUUUUAUGAUGAAGAAGUUAUAAGGGAGAAGUUUGCUCAACUUUUAAAGUCCUACUUGAUCUGAGUUCAGCCCGGG
rnacentral:rRNA from 1 species